ensembl:lncRNA
CAAAAUAGCUAUCAGUGUAGUGGUGACAUAUGAAUUCCUCAUCAAAGAAAAGUUCAAGAUACAGCCCUCAGUAGCCUACAGAAGAGAAGGCUCCAGGCAGCGCUUACACUACGUUGAGGACUGUUUAACUUCCCAUAGCGUCCUGCAAGUGAGGAGGUUAGAGGUGCACAAGAAGAUGGGAGAGGGCCCACAUCUGACUGAAACUGGGUGAAGGAAUAUUCCAUACCAUAUGACAUCAUGCUGAACAGUAAAACAGUGGGGAAUUGGCCAGGGGGCAGCAGAUGUUUAGCUAGUGGCUGGGUAUCAGUUAGCAGGCAGUGGUGCACUGUGCAUCCCUGGUUUUGUAUGUAUUUAUUGCUAUUAUUAUUACUUUCUUUUCUUUUUCUGUCUUGUUUUAACUUUUUUUUUUUUUUUUACUUUUUUUUUUUUUCCUCCUGAUUUUCUUCCCAAACCCACCACUGUGGGG